CAGCAGCCGCGGUAAUACGAAGGGUGCAAGCGUUAAUCGGAAUUACUGGGCGUAAAGCGUGCGUAGGCGGUUUGUUAAGUCUGCUGUGAAAUCCCCGGGCUCAACCUGGGAAUGGCAGUGGAUACUGGCAAGCUAGAGUGUGUCAGAGGAUGGUGGAAUUCCCGGUGUAGCGGUGAAAUGCGUAGAGAUCGGGAGGAACAUCAGUGGCGAAGGCGGCCAUCUGGGGCAACACUGACGCUGAGGCACGAAAGCGUGGGGAGCAAACAGGAUUAGAUACCCGCGUAGUCCCUGUCUCUUAUAC
rnacentral:rRNA from 1 species